rnacentral:rRNA from 1 species
CAAAUUUCUGCCCUAUCAACUUUCGAUGGUAGGAUAGUGGCCUACCAUGGUCUUAACGGGUAACGGGGAAUUAGGGUUCUAUUCCGGAGAGGGAGCCUGAGAAACGGCUACCACAUCCAAGGAAGGCAGCAGGCGCGCAAAUUACCCAAUCCCAAUACGGGGAGGUAGUGACAAUAAAUAUUAAUACGGGGCUCUUUUGGGUCUCGUAAUUGAAAUGAGUACAAUCUAAAUCCCUUAACGAGGAACAAUUGGAGGGCAAGUCUGGUGCCAGCAGCCGCGGUAAUUCCAGCUCCAAUAGCGUAUAUUAAAGUUGUUGCCGUUAAAAAGCUCGUAGUUGAACUUUGGGUCUGGCUGAUCUGUCCUCCUAAUCGAGCGCACGGAUUCGGUCGGACCUUUCCUUCUGGGGAGCCCUAUGCCCUUCACUGGGCGUAGUGGGGAACCAGGACUUUUUACCUUGAAAAACAUUAGAGUGUUCAAAGC